GAAGAACCUUACCUACUCUUGACAUCCAAAGAACGUGGCAGAGAUGCCUUGGUGCCUUCGGGAACUCUGAGACAGGUGCUGCAUGGCUGUCGUCAGCUCGUGUUGUGAAAUGUUGGGUUAAGUCCCGCAACGAGCGCAACCCUUAUCCUUUGUUGCCAGCGAUUUGGUCGGGAACUCAAAGGAGACUGCCGGUGAUAAACCGGAGAAAGGCGGGGAUGACGUCAAGUCAUCAUGGCCCUUACGAGUAGGGCUACACACGUGCUACAAUGGCGCAUACAAAGAGAAGCGAUCUCGCGAGAGUCAGCGGACCUCAUAAAGUGCGUCGUAGUUCGGAUUGGAGUCUGCAACUCGACUCCAUGAAGUCGGAAUCGCUAGU
rnacentral:rRNA from 1 species